GACGAACGCUGGCGGCGUGCUUAACACAUGCAAGUCGAGCGGUAAGGCCCUUUCGGGGGUACGACGAGCGGCGAACGGGUGAGUAACACGUGGGUGACCUGCCCUCAGCUCUGGGAUAAGCCUGGGAAACCGGGUCUAAUACUGGAUAUGACUCCAUGACGCAUGUUGGUGGGGUGGAAAGCCUUGUGCGGCUGAGGAUGGGCCCGCGGCCUAUCAGCUUGUUGGGUGGGGUGAGGCCUACCAAGGCGACGACGGUAGCCGGCCUGAGAGGCGACCGGCCACACUGGGACUGAGACACGGCCCAGACUCCUACGGGAGGCAGCAGUGGGGAUCUUGCGCAAUGGGCGAAAGCCUGACGCAGCGACGCCGCGU
rnacentral:rRNA from 1 species